CUACACUUGCUCUAGUGAGGAUGUGGGUCAGAAUAUGUUUUGUACAACAUGUUUUAUAUUUGGAACUCAUAGUCAACAUGAUGUUGUUGAAUUUGAUAAGCUUGCGGAGAAGUACAUGACAGAGAUAAAAGUAGGAGUUGAGGAACUAACAGGUGCCAUAGACCAACUGGAAGAGAGCCGUUUG